rnacentral:rRNA from 1 species
GAGGCGAUGAAGGGCGUACUAAUCUGCGAUAAGCGCCGGUAAGGUGAUAUGAACCGUUAUAACCGGCGAUACCCGAAUGGGGAAACCCAGUGUGAUUCGUCACACUAUCAUUAACUGAAUCCAUAGGUUAAUGAGGCGAACCGGGGGAACUGAAACAUCUAAGUACCCCGAGGAAAAGAAAUCAACCGAGAUUCCCCCAGUAGCGGCGAGCGAACGGGGAGGAGCCCAGAGCCUGAAUCAGCAUGUGUGUUAGUGGAAGCGUCUGGAAAGGCGCGCGAUACAGGGUGACAGCCCCGUACACAAAAGCGCAUGUGCUGUGAGCUCGAUGAGUAGGGCGGGACACGUGGUAUCCUGUCUGAAUAUGGGGGGACCAUCCUCCAAGGCUAAAUACUCCUGACUGACCGAUAGUGAACCAGUACCGUGAGGGAAAGGCGAAAAGAACCCCGGCGAGGGGAGUGAAAAAGAACCUGAAACCGUGU